GAUGAACGCUGGCGGCGUGCCUAAUACAUGCAAGUCGAGCGGACGGACGCGAAGCUUGCUUCUCUGAUGUUAGCGGAGGGCGGGUGAGUAACACGUGGAUAACCUACCUAUAAUACUGGUAUCAUCUCGGGAAACCGGAUCUUAUACCGGAGAAUAUUUUGAACCGUAGGGUUCAAUAGUAAAAUACGGUGGUUCGGGCACGUAUAGAGGGAUCUCGGCUUGAUUAGCUAGUUGGGAAGGUAAAGGCUUACCAAGGCAACGAUGCAUGGACGAACUGAGAGAGUGAUAGGCCGCCUGGGAACUGAGCCACGGUCAAGACUCCUACGGGAGGCAGCAGAAGGGAACCGUCCGCAAUGGGGGAGAGCAUGACAGAGUAAGGCCGAGUGAGUGAUGGAAGUCUUCGGAGCGUAAAAAUCUGUUACUAGGGAAGAACAUCUGUGUAAGUAACUGUGCAGAUAUUGACGGUAACUAAUCAGAAAGCAACGGCUAACUACGUG
rnacentral:rRNA from 1 species